GUUGGAAAAAAAGAGAAAAAAAUGAAAAGUGUAAGUUCAGCUAAAAAGAACACCUAAGCAUUUAGAUCUAUAUGUCUAUAAAUGCAGGAAAUUUGGGCUGAUCGAUAUGACGGUUAAAAUGGACGCAAUGUCGGAAACCAUUCGAGUAGGACAUACUCCUGUUUUUUCCGUCUUGCGUAAUUUUUUAAUUAAAAAAUGUUUGUUUUUUGCAGUUAUAUUUUCCGUCUUGUUCUCUAAUACCGUUUUAAUAAUAUCGAAUUUUCUUUUAAUUGAAAAUUAUUGUCCAUAUUCUUGUAAAAGGACAGACACCAGUAAAUACAAAGAAGAGAAAAGUUUGUGAUGAAAGGAAAAAUCAUUUGUUUUAUCAUUACAAAAUAGAAUAGAUACUACCCUCGAUAUAGAUAAAAUUAUUAAACAAUACAUUGAUACCAGCUAGAAUAGUUACAAACCACAGCAAGUAACAUAGUCCGUUUCUUGGCAAGCAGGAUUUUGGUUGCUAAAAUUUUUUGUAUGAAUAAAUCCAAAUAAUCAUGUCACCAACUACGUGCCACUAGACUAGCAAACUUUCAAUGUAGUGGUUCUAUAACAAUUCGAUAAUUAAAUAUUUUUGAUAUCGAUUAAAA